GACCUCGGCCAGAGAAAUACUCCCACUUUUCUUCCGAAAACUGUGGAGCCGUUUCUUGCUAUUGCUGCUUUACUGGCCUUGUUUUUGUCGAGUUUUCGGCGCUCGAGAGGCAAAGUUUCAAGGAACCACUGUUUUUCGGGAUCAAAAACGCUUCAUGGCAUCUCCUCCGCUUCGGCGGGGUCUUUGAGUAGCUUUUGUCGUGUUUUUCGUCUCGAGACUACAAACAGUCGGUUGUUGCCAUCGGAUUUUGGUUCGAUGGAUGAGACAGAAGUAGCCCCGUCGACAGGUACCCAGAAGAAGUGGGACGCGUGUAUCUUGAGUUCUCGUUCAUUUUAGGAUGUUCGGUCGAGCUCGAUCGCCUUUGUGUCGUUCCACCGCGGUAUAUUCCUAAACACUAUGUAGGUCCUAUGGGCCAGUGAUCAUUUGGGUCAAACCAUACUGCUGACAUUU
rnacentral:snoRNA from 1 species